AAGGUGUUGUUCUGUGAGGAAAGCUUUGUGCUCAAGCUAUUGUACAGGAUUAUGAGUUGCUCGUUGCUCGGGGGCAAAGAAGGUUGCCUCAAGCAUGUCUUUUUUGACAGAAAACCUUUGCGGGGUAAACUUUGCCAUGGUUCUUGAGGAUUAUUCAAAGAAUAAUAGUUUUGGCUUGUGGAUCAAUGAUAUACCCACAUGAAGGAUAUAUUUUCUGCUGUCAGGGGACAAUAUGCCAUUAUAACAUAUAUAGGCUGUCUGAUACUGAAUCUUUUCUGCAUAGAGAAUCUUGUUUUCUUAGUUUUACUUGUAUGCAUGAUACCUAUAUUGAUUCAAGUCUACAUAAUUUAUUCUUAAAAAAUAUGUGAAAUACAAUGCAAUCAAGGAGAAAGCAUACACAUUUGGUUGAGCCUGUAUACUUGACCUUAUGUACCUUACCUUGUUUCAGCGGGAUGCAAUGGAUAAGAUUCAAUCCGGAAAAUGGAUCCUUAGUCCUUGUUAGAAAAGAAAAGGAGUAAACUUGUCUA